AUGUGGGUGCUGGGAAUCGAACUCAGGACCUCUGGAAGAGCAGGCAAGUUCUCUUAAACACGGAGCCACCUCUCCGGUCCCGCAGAUGUACCUCUUGACCUUGGCAGCUUGGCAGGAUCUUUUAGGAUAGCCUAAGCAAGAGUGGUUUGAGUGGUACCUGUGAGAAGUGAGUCCACCGUUCUGGAUGGCAAGUAAGGGAAGAAUAGAUGAGAUUUUCUACCUCAGCUUGCAUGGAAAGAGAAAGAAUGUCUGGUGAGGAGAGAAGUCACCCUCCGAAGGUCCUGGUUAGCAAACUGAUUAGAAAGAACUUUCCAAUCCCCGAUGAACCUCCAGAUGACGGUAGCCGCUGGUGAAUACUGGCAAGGGGCCGGUCACUGUCUUCGGUUAGGUGUGUACAGUCACAGACAGUAAAUCACAAAGGUGCCCAGAAUUAGGCUGAAAGGGGUCACAAAGCUAAGCAAAAAAUACAUGAAUGUGGGAAACAUCACAGGUAAACAGAUAAGAGAGGGUGGGGGUGAGGGCAACCAGAGUGCUCUGAACGAAUGUGUGAAACUGUCAAAGAGGACACUUAAUUGGACCUGAGUCCAAUCAGACCUUUGCAUUUAUGAAAGGUCUAUUCUACAGAAAAGACAAGUCUACUGCAAUGUGCAAUCGAGACUUAGCCUGAUCCAGUCUGUAGACAGUUUGGCUAUUAAGAAUAGGAACGGGGGUUGGGGAUUUAGCUCAGUGGUAGAGCGCUUGCCUAGGAAGUGCAAGGCCCUGGGUUCGGUCCCCAGCUCCGAAAAAAAGAACCAAAAAAAAAAAAAAAAAAAGAAUAGGAACGGUCACGGUCCAUACUUUAGGAUAUAUGGGGCAGUGAGUAAGAAUAUGUGAGAGUGCCUACCACAGAGUGAGGGGUGGUGGUUAGCCAGAAAAUGGGAAGCUGGUGGCUGCAUACCAGAACACCUUGGGGCUUCUAGGAGGCUGGCUUAGUACCGGCCCCUUAGUCAAUGUGUUGGGUUGAGAUCAAUCCACUUCCAUUUCUUAUGCUGUGAAGCUCCUGGGGCAUGAUGAUGGCUCAGUUGCCAAAAUACUUACCUGGCAAGAAUGAGGUCCUGAGUUCAAUCCCCAGAACCCACAAUUAAACAGUCAGGCAUCGUAGUGAGCAUUAGUGACCCGGCCACCAGGGAAAUGGACACUGCUGAGUGCCUGUGGCCCCUUAGCUACCCAGCCCAGGCUGAUUAUUGAGUUUCAGGCCAAUGAAAGACCCUGCCUUACAACAGGGAAGUGAAGGGCACUUGAGAGAAGACGCCUGUGGUCCUUGUCAUCAUCCUACACAGGCAAGUGUGCACACAAACACUUCUGUGUUCCUGUUUCCAAACUGGUGAGUGUUCCUCUCCCACUCCCUCUCCUCCCCCUCUCCCUCCCUCCCCUUCCCCUCCCCCUUUCCCUCUUCCUUCCCCUUCCUUUCCCUCUCUCCCUCCCCAAAGUUCUUGCUCUGCACUCAUCAGAUGGGAGGACUCACCUCUCAUGCUAUGUGUCAGUAGACACACACACACACACACACACACACACACACACACACACUUUUCUGUGGGUGUGUGAAGGGCUUUUAUUUCUGGUCAGAGCGAACAUUGGUCAGGAGUUUCUGUGUUGAAAGUCACCAGCCUGAACACCUUCGCAGAGGGGAUAUAUCCAUUCCUGUGUCAACUUGCUUUUCCACGAGCUCCUGGGUAUUGGUUGCUAGGAGGAGGCCAAGACAAGGCGUGGGCCUCUGUGUAGUCAGAGGGGAAUUCCUGGGGGAAGCCAAAGGGACAGGAGGGGAUAGGGAUGUACCAGCAGUAAACCUGGUGCUUAUAUGGUCUUCCAGGAGAAAAGCAAGCUUCCAUAAGAAACAGACUCUCUGGCCUCAGGACUGAAGAAGCAGCAGGAGGUGUGCAUGCCAAGACUCCUUUGCUUGCAAAACAUGCAGGAUUAUAGAGAGCAGUUUUGACAUCACGGAACACUGAAAUUUAUAAAUGAGGUGAUUUGGUUGCCUGACAUCUACUGGAGACUAACCAUGUGUCCCAGAAAGACGAUGAACUUGAGGGAGGAGGAGUUGAGAUGGCAAGAGGGUGAAAGAGUUCCUGUUGACUUUGGGCAGUAACACUGAUAUUCCGGCCUCUCGACAGUGUAACUUGAGAAAUGCUGCUGAGCAGGGUGAGGAAGCCCAUGGAGCCUGUCUGGAGUGCCUCCAGUCCCCAUGUUCCCUUGGGCUGCAGCGGAAAUAUUCUAGGCAUGAGGUACCUGUGGACUCGAAUUCCACACUAGUGACAGUGAGCGACACAUAUGGAGCUGGGGGAAGAUAUCUCAGCAAUCAAGCAGUUGACGCCUCUGUAGUUCUCAGGACCUAAGUCCGGUGAACCACAACUCAGUUGUGGGGGAACCCAACUCUUCCUGUAGGCACCUGAACUCACGCCUGUGUGACUGCACACGUGCACAGCACCAAAGAAAAUGUUCCUUCUUCGUGGUCAUGAGACUAAGUAUUUGGAAUCAUAACAUUUAUGAUGUAGCACUGAACCAUGAUUUUGCGACACCUAGAGCAGCCAUGUGGGUCAACCCUCAGCAGACUAUGGCUUGAAGGAGUUGUCAGUCAUAACUGUCUACAGGCAACCAUGCAUGAGGCAUCUCUCUAUCAUGGGACACUGCUGCAUUGAUCUCCCACCAGAAAACUAAGAGAAACCACCAGCGGCUAAUGGCACUCCAGAGAUAGUUUAAGUUGCUUCUGCAAGACAUCUUGUCAUGUGGUGAUCUACUCAUCUAAGAGGAUGAGGAACUUUUGGAGCGCCGUGGUGACCUUGAAGGUGACAAUGACACCAUCCAUUCCUAGAACAUUGUGACAGCUGCCACCUGAACGGGUAAAAGUGGUACAUGGGGAUCUACCCCCCCCAGAUGGCAGGACGCUCACAGAAGGGUCAGAUGGUGCAGGUAAACACUCCCACUCAUGAGUAUUUUUCUAUUAAGGGAGGUUGCUCUAUGCCUAGCUAGGUUUGCCCCAUGUUGCUCUUUGCUUUCUGCUUGGGAGUAGCUUUCCCCUGUGCUUUCCUCUCCUUCGUAGUCACCCUCUUCUGAUAUGCUCAUUAGUAAACCCAGAGCUGCUUUUACUAGUACAGAAUAGCACUAGCCUGCAGCAACACAUCUCAGGGUAGAGAGUUCGGCUCUCUUGUCACAUCUCUGUAUUCAGACUCUUACAGACAUGACCGGCAACAACACCUUGGUAACCUUAUUCACCUGUCCACCUGUUCCGAUUGUAAUCUACCAGAGAGCAGAAGCCUGCAGGGGCCUUUGUCUUGUGUGUUUCUGCGGUCGCAUCCUGCUUCCUUAGGAGAGGAGCGGGGAAGAUACUGUUUCAAUUCAGGAGAACUAAGUGGUAAACUUUUUCUGUCUGUGACGAUACUGUUUCAAUUCAGGAGAGCUAAGUGGUAAAACUUUUUCUGUCUAUUUUUGUUUCAUUUCAAGUUGGGGUUUUCCUCCAAUGCUCUGUCCCUCCUGUCCUGUUUUAGACAAGCUGAUCUCAGAAACUGGGUAAUUGCACACAGUCAGCACAACCCGGCAAAGAUGUAUUGUCCACCAAACCUGCCAGUUGUAAUCAUUAAAAUCACGGCAGACUUCAUAAAAGGCUAUGUAGCUACUCCUGAUGUUGAACCAAUUUCUUUCUCUGUUGCUGUGAUAAUAAAAUACUUCGACAAAAGUGA
rnacentral:sRNA from 1 species